GUGAUCUUAGCAAGUCCCUUCUCUGGCUUCUAGCAGGGGGAGGGGUGUCAGAUGACCACUAAGUAAUGAGGAGGCUGG